rfam:Nicotiana attenuata strain TT chromosome 10, whole genome shotgun sequence.
AUGCCAUGGUGAGGGCACUUCACUAGCAUCCCUUUAAAUCUUUCCCAAGUUUCUUGCAAGGACUCAGUUGGGUGCUGCUUAAACUGCAAUAUUUCAUCAAUCUGUCU